rnacentral:rRNA from 1 species
GACAGAGGGUGCUAGCGUUGUUCGGAAUGACUGGGCGUAAAGGGCGCGUAGGCGGUUAUAUUAGUCAAGCGUGAAAGCCCCGGGCUUAACCCGGGAAUUGCGCCUGAAACGGUAUAACUAGAGGACGAGAGAGGAAAGCGGAAUUCCUAGUGUAGAGGUGAAAUUCGUAGAUAUUAGGAGGAACAUCAGAGGCGAAGGCGGCUUUCUGGCUCGUUACUGACGCUGAGGCGCGAAAGCGUGGGGAGCAAACAGG